rnacentral:rRNA from 1 species
UGGCUUAGAAGCAGCCAUCAUUUAAAGAAAGCGUAAUAGCUCACUGGUCGAGUCGGCCUGCGCGGAAGAUGUAACGGGGCUAAACCAUGCACCGAAGCUGCGGCAGCGACGCUUAGGCGUUGUUGGGUAGGGGAGCGUUCUGUAAGCCGUUGAAGGUGGCCUGUGAGGGUUGCUGGAGGUAUCAGAAGUGCGAAUGCUGACAUAAGUAACGAUAAAGCGGGUG